rnacentral:rRNA from 1 species
UACGGGGGGAGCAAGCGUUGUUCGGAUUUACUGGGCGUAAAGGGCGCGUAGGCGGCCACCGCAAGUCAAUUGUGAAAUCUCCGGGCUUAACUCGGAAAGGUCAACUGAUACUGCGGGGCUAGAGUGCGGAAGGGGCAACUGGAAUUCUCGGUGUAGCGGUGAAAUGCGUAGAUAUCGAGAGGAACACCUGCGGCGAAGGCGGGUUGCUGGGCCGACACUGACGCUGAUGCGCGAAAGCGUGGGGAGCAAACGGG